rnacentral:lncRNA from 1 species
UGUAAAGCUACUCCUGGAAUGAUUAUGCCAUAGCUAGCCUGAUGGCAGUAGGUGGCCAAAAUCAGGGGCUGGGUUUGGGAGAAUACUGGCUGCCAAGUGUAAAAGUAGCCUGAGCUCUUCCUCUUAAGCCAGCCUUCUUGAGGGAUAAUCUAGCUGAAAGGGGCAGAAGAGGACUGAACAGGACAAGAACUAAGCUGCUAUGCCCAAGAGUCAGCAGAUUCACAUGGUCAGGGGCCUGGGCCAACUCUGGAUGAACAGGAGGAUGGCAAGGUGAGGCCAAGCAGGACAGUCCUGAUCACCUUCAGUCAGGUACAGAGGUGAGCUGCAUCAAGCAUCACAGCAUCAGUUUGGAGCAGAGAGAUUUUUUUGUUUUUUGUUUUUCUUCCCCCAAAACUUAUUUUCCUGACUUAAAAACAACUGAACUUUAUUUUCUCACUGUUCUGAAGGCUGGAAGUCGCGAUUAUGGUAUUAGCAGGGUUGAUUUCAUUCUGGGACAUCUCCUUUGUUUACAUAUGGCCUUCUCCCUGGUUCAAAUUUUCUCUUCUUAUAAGGACAUCCACUAUAUUGGAUUAGGCCUCACCUUAAAGUCUUUAUUUUAACUAAAUGAACUCUUAAAAGAAUUUUAUCUCU